rnacentral:rRNA from 1 species
UGGGGAAUUUUGGACAAUGGGCGAAAGCCUGAUCCAGCAAUGCCGCGUGUGUGAAGAAGGCCUUCGGGUUGUAAAGCACUUUUGUCCGGAAAGAAAUCCUUGGCUCUAAUACAGUCGGGGGAUGACGGUACCGGAAGAAUAAGCACCGGCUAACUACGUGCCAGCAGCCGCGGUAAUACGUAGGGUGCAAGCGUUAAUCGGAAUUACUGGGCGUAAAGCGUGCGCAGGCGGUUUGCUAAGACCGAUGUGAAAUCCCCGAGCUCAACCUGGGAACUGCAUUGGUGACUGGCAGGCUAGAGUAUGGCAGAGGGGGGUAGAAUUCCACGUGUAGCAGUGAAAUGCGUAGAGAUGUGGAGGAAUACCGAUGGCGAAGGCAGCCCCCUGGGCCAAUACUGACGCUCAUGCACGAAAGCGUGGGGAGCAAAACAGGAUUAGAUACCCUGGUAGUCCACGCCCUAAAACGAUGUCAACUAGUUGUUGGGGAUUCAUUUCCUUAGUAACGUAGCUAACGCGUGAAGUUGACCGCCUGGGGAGUACGGUCGCAAGAUUAAAACUCAAAGGAAUUGACGGGGUCAUAGCUGUUUCCU